rnacentral:rRNA from 1 species
CAGUAGCCGGGGAAUACGUAGGUGGCAAGCGUUGUCCGGAAUUAUUGGGCGUAAAGGGCUCGCAGGCGGUUUCUUAAGUCUGAUGUGAAAGCCCCUGGCUCAACCGGGGAGGGUCAUUGGAAACUGGGAAACUUGAGUGUAGAAGAGGAGAGUGGAAUUCCACGUGUAGCGGUGUAAUGCGUAGAGAUGUGGAGGAACACCAGUGGCGAAGGCGACUCUCUGGUCUGUAACCGACGCUGAGGAGCGAAAGCGUGGGGAGCGAACAAGAUUAGAUACCCCGGUAGUCCCUGUCUCUUAUACA